UACUCUCACACUCUCGAAUCCUGUGGGUUCUGGGAGCGGUGGACUUGGGUGUUUGCUGCUUUUCAUUGUGGCUCACCUUAAAUGUGUUAGUGCACCUCUUGGUUGGACAUAGUACGGCGUGAUAAGUGUCUUCGCCGGCACCUCGCAAGGGGGUGGCCAACGAGAGAGCUCUGUGCUUUCAAAUCGUCUUCGGACAAUCUCUGACAAC
rnacentral:misc_RNA from 1 species